rnacentral:rRNA from 1 species
GACGAACGCUGGCGGCGUGCCUAACACAUGCAAGUCGAACGGGGCUCUUUGGAUCGAGACUUCGGUCAAGUGAAUCUGAGCUUAGUGGCGGACGGGUGAGUAACGCGUGAGCAACCUGCCCUGGAGUGGGGGAUAACAGUUGGAAACGACUGCUAAUACCGCAUAAGCCCACAGCACCGCAUGGUGCAGCGGGAAAAGGAGCAAUUCGCUUCAGGAUGGCCUCGCGUCCAAUUAGCUGGAUGGUGAGGUAACGGCCCACCAUGGCGACGAUCGGUAGCCGGACUGAGAGGUUGAUCGGCCACAUUGGGACUGAGACACGGCCCAG